rnacentral:tRNA from 1 species
GGGAAGUUGGCUCAGUGGUAGAGCACUUGCCUUGCAUGCAUGAGG